AUGUUUUUUGAGCCCAGGACUCACACACAAAAGAGGAAAAAAGGAGCCCACAAAGAACCCUAAGAGCAGCUUUCUUUUAGAGAGGGAGGUCCCAAAAAAGCUGCGGAGGAGCUUGACUCCAUCUCUCCUAUUUUCCCAAAUCACCAUGGAAAACUCCAUAGUUACAUAGCUUCCCACCCUAAAGCUCCCCAAAUAGCCACAAAAUUCACCUUGAUUAACACCAAUCUUCAGCUCCAAAGCUGCUGCAAAAAUGCAGCACUUCUCCUUCCCAAACCGGCUGCAAAAACACUCCAAAAAGACCUGAGAUAGAGCAGCUGAAAACGUUGAUCCAUCACCUCCAAAAUCCAGCCAUGAACACCAGUGAAACCACGCUCCUUUUGCAGCUGAAAAUCAGCUGAGAACUCAGCUGAAAAUCCGUCUAAAUCUGCCACCUUUUAGCUCCUAAAAUCAGCUCCUUUCACCUCCUAAAACCCAGCAAAAAUCUGCUGCAAACAAUCCCAAGCUAGCUCCAAAAAUCAGCCAAAAACACAGAGCUGAAACAAUCCCCAAAAAAUACAGCUGCGUCGCACCUCGAAACAGCCGUGAAAGGCAUGUGAAACCGCCCCGUACACAGCCUUGUAAAGCUCCCAUUUCAACACUCAAAAUCAGCUCCUAAUACAUCCUUAGAACACAAGCUUUAGUCGAGUUUGAGGUUACAGACGAGGUCGUAGUUCGUUAGCUCCGGUCGAGUCCAACUGAUGUUCAAGUAUAUCGGAGAAUUUGGGCUCAUCUAUAAAAGAUUCGGUUUGGAGGCUCGUUGUUCAGAUUCGGUUGAGAUUUCGGUGACGAACCUCGUGAGUAGAGUUUUGGUUGCUGCCUUCAGUCCACGGGAGACCCAAGGUAGAUCUACCGGCGUUCGCAGACCCUGGAGUCCCCUUCCCCCCGGUUUUGGAUUUCCUAUCUCUUUCCAUUUCGAGAACAGCUGUAAUUCUUUUAAACCAAUAUUUGUAGAACUUCUUAGACGUUUGUGAAUUGUGACACCAGAUCAUUGGGGUAGACGUGUAUUGGAGUUUUUGAACUGUUAUAACACUUCCGCAUUUUAUAUC